AUGAAGUCCAGUUCUUGUCUCACUUUGAAGAUCUAUCAUCUAACAGAAGCCUCCUUUGCUCUCCACCAGCUGGCAGCAAACCCCUCAGCUUGGUGGCUACUGAGAGAAGUAAGAAACCAUUUCUCCUGAUAGAUGCAUAACCGCGGAUGACGUGGGUGUAAAACUGGGCACAAGUGAAGGAUUUGUCAGCGGACACACAGGGCUUGGAGGGAAAGCCUGGAGACACAUGGAUCGACUUCUAGCUGUGCCCUCAGAACUGCAGUGUUGCAAGAGUUCUCUACAGAGAGCGCAGGAGUGUUAAGGAAAAACCCACGAGCUGUGAAGCAUCAGGGCUGCCAGGAAAUGGCUGAUUGUGGAGCAUUUCAGAUGUCUCUGGUGAAACACAGAGCCCAGAGGUGGAUUGCCCUGAUCACCCAGUGGGCUCGUGGCCAAACUGAAGCAAGGAUCCAAGCCCCCCAAGCCCCAGGCAGUGGAUUGUAUCUCAAGCUGAAAGAUUUCUAGGGGGAAGAUGGAUUCAUCUCUGGUUCUUCAAACAGAUUUUGCUUCUGAUUUACACGCUGUCUUUCCUCACCAGUAACAAUGGACUCAGGCCCUUCUGCUCUCAUUACCAUUGCAGAUUAGCAAACAUGUUAGAAAAGAGUCUGGUGUCAAGAUGUUUGUUGAGGUUGGUGGUUUGGUCAGAUGGGAAUAAGAGAAGUAAAUUCUCCAGGGGAGGAUGUUUGUAGUCCCAGUUCUUUCUUCUG